rnacentral:rRNA from 1 species
GACGAACGCUGGCGGCGUGCUUAACACAUGCAAGUCGAACGAAGUGGCGAACGGGUGAGUAACUCGUAAUCAACCUGCCCUUCAGAGGGGAACAACAGUUGGAAACGACUGCUAAUACCGCAUACUGAAGGCGGGGAUUGCGGCUGAUUAGCUAGUGGGAGGGGUAACGGCCCACCAAGGCGCGGAUGAGUAGCCGGUCUGGGAGGAUGAACGGGCACAUUGGGACUGGUACACGGCCCAGACUCCUACGGGAGGCAGCAGUGGGGAAUCUUCCGCAAUGGACGAAAGUCUGACGGAGCAACGCCGCGUGAUUGAUGACGGCCUUCCGGUUGUAAAGCUCUGUUAAUCGGGACGCGGUACCGGAAUAGAAAGCCACGGCUAACUACGUGCCAGCCGCCGCGGUAAUUC